rnacentral:rRNA from 1 species
AAAGAAACUAACAAGGAUUCCCCUAGUAACGGCGAGUGAAGAGGGAAGAGCUCAAAUUUUAAAUCUGCCUUGUUCCAAGGUCGAGUUGUAAUUUGAAGAAGCGUUUUCUUGGGCUCGCGGCCGGUAGAAGUUCUUUGGAACAGGACAUCAUAGAGGGUGACAAUCCCGUCCGUGACCGGUCGUGCGUUCAUAUACGAUACGCUUUCAAAGAGUCGAGUUGUUUGGGAUUGCAGCUCCAAACGGGUGGUAAACAUCACCUAAGGCUAAAUAUUGGCGAGAGACCGAUAGCGAACAAGUACCGUGAGGGAAAGAUGAAAAGAACUUUGAAAAGAGAGUUAAACAGUACGUGAAAUUGUUGAAAGGGAAACGAUUGAAGUCAGUCGUGCUGGCGCGAAAUCAACCCUCUCGUCUUGAGAUCACAUGGCGCGACGAGCCUCAAAACCGUCACGAAGCGUGAACUCUUGACGAAAAGGUGCACUUUCGUGUCCGCUGGUUAACAUCAAUUUCGAACGUCAUAAAAAGGCUGGAGGGAUGUGGCUCCUUCGGGAGUGUUAUAACCUUUAGCGGAAUGUGGUGUUCGGGAUUGAGGAUUGCAACGAAUACCUUCAGGGCUGUUCCACCUGGCUUCUCAUUGGUAUCCUGGUGACGACAGCUUGCUGACGUCGUUAGGAUCAGCUUCUGAACAGGCUAGAGUGUGAGCAAAUUCGUUAAGGAUGUUAACGUAAUGGCUUUAAACGACC